GUUAACAUAGCUUACACUAAAGCAUAGCACUGAAAAUGCUAAGACGGUCAUUCCUAUUAACA
rnacentral:tRNA from 1 species